AAUUAUACUAUAUUUGUCAUGGGUUUAGAAGGGACGGUAUCAUCUCAUAUGUAUUAUGAAUGCUAUUUUCACUGUGAGUAGUGAACAAAAUGUGAAUGAAGGUGGAGCAGAUGCAUCUUACCAUUUCUUUCUAAAGUUUUUUUGCCGUCACAGAGUUUCUCGGAGGUCAUGUUCACUUCUCCUUCGCACUCCUCCGCAACAUCUGUUAUUUUCCUUUAAAGAAAUGUUUCUUCUCGUCGAAAGCCAUUUGCGCUUCGUUGGAAGCCAUCUUCGGUUCUCCUCCGCAUUCUUUGUCACCAUCUUCUCUUCUUCUUCAAAGCAUUUUCUCUACUCUUGGAAAACCAUCAUCUCUUCGCGGAAGUUGUUUUCCCGUAAUUUACUCCAAAAGACAAAUGCUACAAAUGCAUCAGGAAAUGUUGUACUUGGAGAUAUUUGAGUAUAUAUUCAACAAAAGUAAAUUUUGAAACAAAUAUGAAGAAAUUGUCUUGAUAAACUCUCUGUGGAGAAUGGAUUGGAAGGAAUUGUCUUGGAAAUUAAAGGGAUAUUUAGAGAUCCUGCCAUAGUAACCAAGAUAAAGGAGUUCAAGCUCUGCCUUCUUUAUUACGCCAAAUUAAACAAUGUUCCUAAGCCAAUUUACAUGUAACGUCUAAUGGUGGAGUAAUUGUUGAUUUGGUUAAAGAAAUAAUCGAAGUCGUUGCAGAUAUGAUAAAGCCAAAAGAAGGUGGUGAAGGGGAGGGUUGGGCAGAGGGGAGUGGGACGGUACUCACACAUGACAGAGUAUUGUUGUAACUCUGUCAAAUAUAGACCCAUGGAGAAGGGAGAAGUUUGUGUGGCAAGUUCUCUUGUAUUUGUUCAAGAAGGGAUCUAUGAUGAAUUUGAGGAAAAAAAAUAGUGGAAAAGGCAAAAACUUGGGUCGUUGGAGAACCUCUUGAUCCUAGAGUCCAACAUUACCUCAUGUAAGAAAAAUAGGCAACAUCAUAGGCAGAUCAAUAUUUUGGUAUUGGCCACCAAUUAAAAUUGCUUGCAUAGUUUCUAAGGAUAGCUGUAGUGUCAAAAUCACACAAGAGAGGAGGAGUUUGUGUGAUUGAGAUGAAGAUAGAAUGUAUCUGUCUAAUAAGUUCUCAUUAUGUUCUUGUGUUGUACCAUUUGGCAAGAGGAUAAGAGAAAAUGGUUUCAUAUGCUUUUCGGGAAGACAAUGUUGGUGGGUUUAGAACUCAUUUAAUUUCUCAUUCUCAUAUAUGUUUAAUACAUAUUUAGGACUCAUUUGACGUAUGAGUUAGUUUUGGAAUUGAAGCACUCAAACUUUCU